UACGUAGGGACCGAGCGUCGUCCGGAAUCAUUGGGCGUAAAGAGCGUGUAGGCGGCCACUUAAGUCCUGCGUGAAAUCUUGCGGCUCAACCGCAAGCGGUCGUGGGAAACUGGGUGGCUAGAGUGCGGGAGAGGAGAGUGGAAUUCCUGGUGUAGCGGUGGAAUGCGCAGAUAUCAGGAAGAACACCCGUGGCGAAGGCGGCUCUCUGGAACGCAACUGACGCUGAGACGCGAAAGCGUGGGGAGCAAACAGG
rnacentral:rRNA from 1 species